rnacentral:rRNA from 1 species
AACGAACGCUGGCGGCAUGCCUAACACAUGCAAGUCGAACGAGACCUUCGGGUCUAGUGGCGCACGGGUGCGUAACGCGUGGGAACCUGCCCUUAGGUUCGGAAGAACUCCCCGAAAGGGGUGCUAAUACCGGAUAAUGUCUUCGGACCAAAGAUUUAUCGCCUUUGGAUGGGCCCGCGUUGGAUUAGCUAGUUGGUAGGGUAAAAGCCUACCAAGGCGACGAUCCAUAGCUGGUCUGAGAGGAUGAUCAGCCACACUGGGACUGAGACACGGCCCAGAAUCCUACGGGAGGCAGCAGUGGGGAAUAUUGGACAAUGGGCGAAAGCCUGAUCCAGCAAUGCCGCGUGAGUGAUGAAGGCCUUAGGGUUGUAAAGCUCUUUUACCCGGGAUGAUAAUGACAGUACCGGGAGAAUAAGCUCCGGCUAACUCCGUG